rnacentral:lncRNA from 1 species
GUUAGCUAUUGGCGGAACUCAAACAGUUGUCACAGCAAGCUGCUGGUUGGAAUCAUCAGAUCAGAAACUAGUAAUAUGAGUCACCCUUAACUUCCAGAACACCUUUCUCCAAGGCCAGAUGCAAAACUCUCAGUGACUCUGCCGCUAUGACAAGAACAAAGAAAUAUUGAUGAGAUCUUGAAGACAUCUGCCACGGCCAACAUAACCUUAUCUUUGCAGCCUUAUGCAGGUGCUGACACAUGAGUGUGCAGGGAGAAUGAAUGGCUUCCUGGUUAUAAGAAAAGAAGAAAACACAGAGAAGUAGGUUCAUUCAUUCCACACACAUUCAUUUUCAACUCAUUUUCAGUUAACGAAGAAACGAUUGUGUCAUUGAAUAUACCAUGAGGUGUUUUCUUCUUGAUCAUCCUAUGAACCAGAAUUGUUAGGCUCAUUUUAAAGAUGAAGGAGCUGAGGCCAAGAACACCUAAGUGAUGGACUUCAGCUCAGAAAGAGAGGAAGAGACACAGGUAGAAUAAGAAACCAUGUCUUAGGACCCCCACCAGCUCAGGCCUCUUCUCCUCGUCCUUUUCCCCAAGCCUCACAGCUGGGAUCCUCCCCUCAUCGGAGGCCUCCAUACUCACACGCUCCAGGACAGGGCUGACCAGGAAGGCUGGGCCCAGCAGGAACUGACUGUCUAUGUCCCAUGUCACCUGGUCUGACACAAACCUGGAAAGGGAAAUGAAGGUGCCCAACAGAGCCCAACAGAGCCCCAGCCCGACACUCUGAAGAAGCUCCUCAAGUUCAGAUCCAAGUCGGAAAUACAGCUGCCCCUGAGCCAUCCUUGCCUUUUUCCUAGGCCUAGCUUCAUCAGGAGCACCCAGCCUCUGCUUUCCCCAUGGGAUGUGCCUCAAACUUCAGAAAUGCUGGGAUGUAGAUGUAUUCUCUCUUGUAAAAUACUUGCCCCAUUUCUCAACCAUGGCAAACUUCAAAUGCAAGGAUGGCCCUUUUCCCUCAAAUCUCUUCCUGAAAUCCUUCUCCUGUGAUCUGGCUACAUAUAACCAAACUGCUACAAAAGAUAGAUAGGCCUUUG